rnacentral:misc_RNA from 1 species
AACAUCGCGCACCUGCGGGAACCUGCGGAAGGAUCAUUACAGAGUUGCAAAACUCCCUAAACCAUUGUGAACGUUACCUAAACCGUUGCUUCGGCGGGCGGCCCGGGUCCUUCCCGGCGCCCCUCGGCCCUCGCGGGCGCCCGCCGGAGGUAAACCAAACUAUUGCAUUGUAUGGCCUCUCUGAGUCUUCUGUACUGAAUAGGUCAAAACUUUCAACAACGGAUCUCAGAUCGGAAGAGC